CAGUAGCGUAUAUUAAAGUUGUUGCAGUUAAAAUGCUCGUAGUUGAAGUUCGGAUGCAGCAGAGCUUGGAAACGCUGUUAUGGUGCUUCCGUUGCUUUUGCUUGUCCACAGUGCGUUGCAAGUACGUAUGUGCUUGUGCGUGCAUUUUACUUUGAGAAACAUAGGGUGUUCCACGCAUGUUACGGCAUGAAUAUUCCAGCAUGGGAUAAUCUGGUACGACUUCCAAUCUGCCAUUUUGGUUCGUAGGUUGGAAGUAUUGAUUAAUAGGGACUGUCGGGGGCAUUGGUAUUUGACUGUCAGAGGUGAAAUUCUUAGAUUCGUUGAGGACCAACCACUGCGAAAGCAUUUGUCAAGGAUGUCUCCAUUAA
rnacentral:rRNA from 1 species